AUUGAACGCUGGCGGCAGGCCUAACACAUGCAAGUCGAACGAGUGGCGGACGGGUGAGUAAUGUCUGGGAAAGUGCCCGAUGUAGGGGGAUAACUACUGGAAACGGUAGCUAAUACCGCAUACCAUCGGAUGUGCCCAGAUGGGAUUAGCUAGGGGGUGGGGUAACGGCGCACCUAGGCGACGAUCCCUAGCUGGUCUGAGAGGCUGACCGGCCACACUGGAACUGAGACACGGUCCAGACUCCUACGGGAGGCAGCAGUAGGGAAUCUUCCACAAUGGGCGCAAGUCUGAUGCAGCAAUGCCGCGUGUAUGAAGAAGGCUUUCGGGUUGUAAAGUACUUUCAGCGAGGAGGCGUUACUCGCAGAAGAAGCACCGGCUAACUCCGUGCCAGCAGCCGCGGUAAUUC
rnacentral:rRNA from 1 species